CUCCGGAUAGCCUAGUGGUUAAGGCUUAGGAUCGCCAAUCCGGAAACGGCGGGUUCGAUUCCCGUUCCGGUCG
rnacentral:tRNA from 1 species